rnacentral:rRNA from 1 species
GGGCGAAAGCCUGAUGCAGCGACGCCGCGUGAGGGAUGACGGCCUUCGGGUUGUAAACCUCUUUCGACAGGGACGAAGCGCAAGUGACGGUACCUGUAGAAGAAGCACCGGCCAACUACGUGCCAGCAGCCGCGGUAAUACGUAGGGUGCGAGCGUUGUCCGGAAUUACUGGGCGUAAAGAGCUUGUAGGCGGUUCGUCGCGUCGUUCGUGAAAACUUGGGGCUCAACCCCAAGCUUGCGGGCGAUACGGGCGGACUAGAGUACUUCAGGGGAGACUGGAAUUCCUGGUGUAGCGGUGAAAUGCGCAGAUAUCAGGAGGAACACCGGUGGCGAAGGCGGGUCUCUGGGAAGUAACUGACGCUGAGAAGCGAAAGCGUGGGUAGCGAACAGGAUUAGAUACCCUGGUAGUCCACGCCGUAAACGGUGGGUACUAGGUGUGGGUUUCCUUCCACGGGAUCCGUGCCGUAGCUAACGCAUUAAGUACCCCGCCUGGGGAGUACGGCCGCAAGGCUAAAACUCAAAGGAAUUGACGGGGG